rnacentral:lncRNA from 1 species
CUGUCAUCCAACACACUGUAUGCUAAGUUACUAAAAAUCAAACUCUUUAACAUAUUGCUAAUAUAACAGUUUAUUGUAAAUCUUAAGUGACAGAAAAAAAAAAAAAAAAAAAAGUUACCCUAUCUUUGUCGACAAACAUUUUGGAGCUCUUUUAUUUGUGCAAAUUAGCCACUAAUACAAAUUUUAGGCCCCCUAAUUAAGACCCUUUUUGUUACGUCACAUAAAAAGGAUAUAUUUGGAGGAUUUAGGGUGUCCUCUUCAUGGAUUUGGUGCACGGGCCCCUACACCAUGCCUGAUGAUUGGAGAUAGCAUAUCUAUGAUCAGGUUUCCCUUUCAUAUUGGAAAAGUCACAAGAGCCAAACUUUAUAUUGAUUACACACAAAAAAAAAAAAAAAAAAAAUACAAUGUAGCCAUUUAAUAUACCGUACUGCUGUAUUAAAAUUCCAAUAAUUCAAACACAUACAUACAAACAAUACAUUCGCACAACGCCACACAUGCAUGGAUAAAAGGUACAUGUUUUACCAGAGGAAUUCGGAGGUCACAGGACUAUUAGAUGAGCACCACAAACACCAGAUUUCGAUUUCGAUUUCGGGUCCGGUAAAACGCAGAUUCUGAACCAAUCAAAGAAUUCGAAUCUAUGAUGAACGUUUAUACAAAAUUUCCAAUUUAUUUGCUAUAGAUAAGAAGAAGACGAACCAAUAACCAGAACACCACUACCUUUAAUCGAGGUACAUGUGGGCAACGCGGGUUUUGCCUUUAUCUGGUUGUUUCUCGCCUCUCGCAAUCGGGACAAAGGGGAGGGAAGACAGGUUAUGGGUAGGAAAUAAGGUAGUCGGUAUUUAAAAAAAAAAAAAAUGAAGCCCUUAGAUUUUUGGGCCUGAGGCAGGGGCCCUUGCCUCGGGCCCAAAACCGGCCCUCAACCAUCGAUGAUCGUUGAUCUGUAGCCAUCCAACGAUCGCCACCUUGAAUACCCA